rnacentral:tRNA from 1 species
UAAGCAGAACCUAAUUUUAUAGGGUUACAGUGAUAGUGUAAUUAAGUGUUUGACUUGCUUAAAUUAU